rnacentral:rRNA from 1 species
UGCCAGCCGCCGCGGUAAUACGGAGGGAGCUAGCGUUGUUCGGAUUUAUUGGGUUUAAAGGGUACGUAGGCGGCUUAUUAAGUCAGUGGUGAAAGUUUGCAGCUUAACUGUAAAAGUGCCAUUGAUACUGGUAAGCUUGAGUACUGUAGAGGUGGGCGGAAUUCCGCAUGUAGCGGUGAAAUGCAUAGAUAUGCGGAGGAACACCAAAAGCGAAGGCAGCUCACUAACACUAUAUUGACGCUAAGGGACGAAAGCGUGGGGAGCGAACGGGAUUAGAUA